UCAUGUUGAAAUACCAAUUUCCAUAUGAUCACUGAAAUUAAGCAACAUCAAGCUGGGUCAGUACCUAGAUGGGUGACUGUUUGGGAAUAUUAAGUGCUGCAAGC